AUACUCACCUGACAAAAGAGAUACAUACCACAAUCAUUAAGGUGGAUCUACCCUAGUGGUGUUCAUCCAUUGCACUUUGGGCAUGUUGAUUUCUCCAACCUCAACUGCAUAACAUAUGGUAGUGGGAGACUGCAUUCACACUUUCCCCUG